rnacentral:rRNA from 1 species
AUUGAACGCUGGCGGCAUGCCUUACACAUGCAAGUCGAACGGCAGCACGGGUGCUUGCACCUGGUGGCGAGUGGCGAACGGGUGAGUAAUACAUCGGAACGUACCUUAUCGUGGGGGAUAACGCAGCGAAAGCUGUGCUAAUACCGCAUACGCCCUGAGGGGGAAAGCGGGGGAUCGCAAGACCUCGCGCGAUUAGAGCGGCCGAUGCCUGAUUAGCUUGUUGGUGGGGUAAAAGCCCAUCAAGGCGACGAUCAGUAGCUGGUCUGAGAGGACGAUCAGCCACACUGGGACUGAGACACGGCCCAGACUCCUACGGGAGGCAGAAGUGGGGAAUUUUGGACAAUGGGGGCAACCCUGAUCCAGCAAUGCCGCGUGAGUGAAGAAGGCCUUCGGGUUGUAAAGCUCUUUUGUCAGGGAAGAAACACCGGCUCUAACACAGUCUGGGAAUGACGGUACCUGAAGAAUAAGCACCGGCUAACUACGUGCCAGCAGCCGCCGUAA